rnacentral:lncRNA from 1 species
GAACAAGGCGAUUGCCUAAGGCCCUAUAUUUUUUUAAGGCCUCAUUUUUUUGAGUAUUUUUUAAUAGUUAUUUAAUUAAUAAAGAUCUUUUUUAAAAAAAUUAUGUAUUGUAGAAAAGCUUGUUAGACAUCUUUAUAAUUAACAGUUAUACCACAACUAAGAAUUAUUUUUUUCUGUAGAAAAUCAAUAUUUCGUAACUUUAAUGUUCAAGAGAUAUAAUUAAUAAAAUUGUUUAGCCAUUAAUUCAUUCAUUAUUAGUUUUUCCAAAAAAAAAUAAAUAAAUUUUUUACCUUUUAAGUUUCGUAAAAAAAUUAAAUUCUUUGACUUUUAAUAUUCCUUUUAAUUUCCAUUAAAACCUUGUAAUAUAAAAAAUAAAAAAUAAAUAGAUUUCUUGGUCUUUUUUUUUACGAAUAGAAUUAUUACAUUCAUUGAUUCAUUUAAAAAAGAAAAAAAAUUAGUUUCUUAAAAUACAAAGUGCAUAUCUAUUAUUUGAUAAUUAAUUCAUCAUCUCAACUUUCUACUAUUCUAAAUAUUCUCUUUGAAAAUAAUAUUGUUUGUAUUUAUUUGUUUGUUUAUCUUUGUAAUAAUUUUAAUGGAAGUAAAAAAUAUAUCUUCUUGGUUAUUUUUUUAGGUUUGGUUUUUGAAAAUUUUUAAGAUAUUUUUUAUUACUAUUAAAAUUCAAGAGUUAAAAGUCGUAUGAAUUUUUUAGUCUUAUAUUUCAUUAAAUAUUAAAAUUACAAAAUAAAAAAAGGCCCC